AUGGGGUCCUCGCCGCUGGAGUACCCAUCAUUCUCCUCUGAGGCAUCCACCGAGAGAGACGCCUUGUUCCAGCCUGCUUUAAGAAAGACAAGAGGAGAACUGGACAACAGACCAAAGGUUAAAAUACACAUCAUCAAACGCCAACCUGAAAGAAGGCACAGUCGGAGCACUGCCUCCACAAGCUCUCAGAGCGUGGUUUAUUUUGGCAGUACGCCUCGUAUAUCUGCAGGUCCUUCAUCUAAAGACAGACGAAAA